GCCGGCGGGCUCGCGGCGCUCCCCCUGGCGGCGGCUCCUCCCGCGGCCCGGCGCGGCCUUCCAGGGCUUUCUCUGCCGCCCCGAGGACGCCGCGGCGACCCCCGCCGCCCAGACGUGCGCCGGGCGCUGCGUUUUCGUUCGCCGCCCUCCCAGACGGUGCCCGUUCUGACGUACUUGUAAUCCAGUCAGAAAAGAAGCCAUUCACGAGCCCACAUAGUUUCCUCAGUGAGACAAAGAAAUAUUUAUGAUAUGCUGAAACAGCUGAAGAAGUGUUCAGUUCAAAGCUUCAGAGGGAGGAAACAGAAACAGGAGAAACAGGAGACAAGAGAGCUCUUGGCUACAGGACUGCAAACGACACCCUAAAACGUGGAGCUGCAAACCUUGGUGAUUUAAAUGCAGGCUGCCAGGCAAAUUGCAGUGACAUAAAUUUGGCCCAUGUGUUUUGCAUCGUGUGAAUAUGAAACAGGGGAAACCAUGGAGCCGAGUUUUGUUGGCAUUGGACUCAGGAGGUUUGGUGGGCUCUUUUCAGACAUGCUGCCCACAGCAAGGUCACAUCUCAAAUAUGAACGUCACCCAGAGGUUACCCAGGUGAUCCUAGGCCAUCCUGAGCAUGCAGCUGUGCAGGGCUUGACCUUGAAGGACAGAUGGCAUCAGGGGGAAUUCUUUUAUACCUUGUAUUGGCCAGGGCUCAGCUUCUGACAUUUCUGUCUACAGACGACAAAAGGCUUUCAUUGUAAGCUGCUUUCUGAUGCGUGCUUAAAACCAAGUUGAACACAUUAAA